rnacentral:rRNA from 1 species
UACGUAGGGGGCAAGCGUUGUCCGGAAUUACUGGGCGUAAAGAGCUCGUAGGUGGUUUGUCGCGUUGUUCGUGAAAACUCACAGCUCAACUGUGGGCGUGCGGGCGAUACGGGCAGACUAGAGUACUGCAGGGGAGACUGGAAUUCCUGGUGUAGCGGUGGAAUGCGCAGAUAUCAGGAGGAACACCGGUGGCGAAGGCGGGUCUCUGGGCAGUGAACUGACGCUGGAGGAGC